GGCAAUUAUUAAACCAAAAUGAGAAAGUAAUUACAGCUGUGGACUCUAAUUACUGCAAGUGAAAACAUUUCAGCUGGAAAAUUCUCAUCAUUGCAAUACUGACCUUUGCAAAGGGCUUUAAAUCCUUGAGUGGAAGUAGCAGGCUAUUUACUGAGAAGUAUUUACUGUGAAGUGCAAGAAGCAAAAUGUUCUGAAAAUGCUGCAGCAAAAUGGAGGGGGGAGAAAAAAGAGAAUAAUAUAAAACAUGUAAG